rnacentral:lncRNA from 1 species
AAGGAUGUAUAAAGGAAUCGAACUCAUUUUGUCACCUACUUGUCUAAGUCAGUAAAUAUACUUAAAUCGUAAAGCACAUUGCCACUUGUUGUUUCGGAUUCGACCACUUGUCACAUUUAUUUCAUAUAUAUAAAUCACAUAAUUUUCAGGUUGAAGUUUCACAUUUCUAGGUUUAAAAUUAUUCAAAGCAAAAAAAAAAAAGGCGCGUGGGUUCGCGUGAGGAGGAAGAAAAAAAAUGUUGAAGAUCCAAUGUGAAGAAGAGAGGGACAUGAAGAAUCCUUUGGAUUGGCAAAGACAAACCCCAAGGUUUAGUGCAGUGUUCUCCUCCAUUGAGCCAAGUGACCCAAUAAUAAUCCCAAAUUUUU